rnacentral:ncRNA from 1 species
GAUCCUGGCCUUUCUAUCAGCUGUUUUUCGAUUUACACAUGCAAGUAUCCGCACUACCGUGAGAAAACCCUCUAACCUCAAUCAGGCUGAGGAGCCGGUAUCAGGCACAGACUCUUGCCCACAACACCUAGUCUUACCACGCCCCCAAGGGUAAUUUCAGCAGUGAUAAAUAUUGUUCAUAAGCGUCAGCUUGACUCAAUCAAGAAAAAUAGAGCUGGCCAAUACGGUGCCAGCCGCCGCGGCUAAACCGCUUUAGGCUCAAGUUGAUAGUUUUCGGCGUUAAGCGUGGUUAAAGGAUCCGCCCCACUAGAGUUAAACGGAAAUUCAGCUGUUAUAAGCUUAUUAACAAGUAAACCUAUAAACGAAAGUUACUCUAUACUACCCUUGAACCCACAACAGCUAAGACACAAACUGGGAUUAGAUACCCCACUAUGCUUAGCCGUAAAAAAUUAACUUACACCAUUCGCGCCAGGGGACUACAAGCCAAGCUUCAAACCCAAAGGAUUUGACGGUGUCCCACCCAUCUAGAGGAGCCUGUCCUACAAUCGAUAUUCCCCGCUUAACCUUACCGCUUCUUGCUUAGCCUGUAUACCGCCGUCGCAAGCUUACCAUGUGAAUGAAAUAGUAAGCUCAAUAAUCUUCUUAUUAACACGUCAGGUCAAAGUGCAGCUUAUGAAGCGGGCAGAGAUGGGCUACAAUUUCUAUUAUAGAACAAACGGAACAGCUAAAUGAAAUAUGCUGUGAAGGUGGAUUUAGUAGUAAAAAGAAAAUAGAGUGUUCUUUUUAAUCUGGCCCUGGGACGUGUACACACCGCCCGUCACCCUCUUCAAUAGCUUUACUAACGUAUUUAACCCGCUUUUUGCACCUUAGAAGAGGCAAGUCGUAACAUGGUAAGUGUACUGGAAAGUGCACUUGGAUAAGCAAAAUGUAGCUUAAUAAAAGCAUUUCGCUUACACCGAAAAAAUGUUUGUUAGCCCAGACCAUUUUGAGCUUAAAACCUAGCCCAACCACCUCGCAUGUAAAAAAUUUUUAUACGAAAUAAAAUAAAACAUUUUACCCACCCAGUAAGGGCGACUGAAAAGUUUAUCGGAGCAAAAGAAUAAGUACCGCAAGGGAACGGUGAAAAAGAACUGAAAAAAUCUAAAGCAACAAAAAGCAAAGACUCCCCUUGUACCUUUUGCAUCAUGAUCUAGUUAGUUUACCCAAGCAAAAUGAAACUUUAAGUUAGCCCCCCCGAAACUAAGUGAGCUACUUCAAAAUAGCUUCCAAGAGCCAACCCUUCUCUGUUGCAAAAGAGUGGGAAAAUUUUUAAGUAGAGGUGAUAAGCCUACCGAACUUAGAGAUAGCUGGUUGUUCAAGAAAAGAGUUUUAGCUCUACCUUAAGAUCUUUUUUUAUAAAAACAACAAAUUUGAUCUUAAGACUUAUUCAAAUAAGGCACAGCUUGUUUGAAAUAGGACACAACCUAUAAAAUAGGGUAAGACUUAAUUACUUUAACCAAGUGGGCCUAAAAGCAGCCACCUUUAAAAAAGCGUUAAAGCUUAUUUAACCUUAUAAAUAAAUUCCCUCAAAAAAUUUCAACCCUUUAUUACUAUUGAACAAUUUCAUAAACAUAUGAAAAAUAUUCUGCUAGAACUAGUAACAAGAAAUUGACUUUCUCCUAAAUAUAAGCUUACACCAGCACUUGACCCCCCUACUGGUAACUAACGUAAUUGAUCUAAUUGUAAUAACUGAACCCCAGCAAACUUUACAACCUCUAACGCUACCCUAACACCAGCAUAUUUUAGGAAAGAUUAAAAGAAAAAGAAGGAACUCGGCAAAUAUUAGCCUCGCCUGUUUACCAAAAACAUCGCCUCCUGACUCCCAUAGGAGGUCCAGCCUGCCCAGUGACUUUGUUCAACGGCCGCGGUAUCCUGACCGCGCGAAGGUAGCAUAAUAACUUGUUCUUUAAAUAGGGACUUGCAUCAACGGCACCACGAGGGCUAAACUGUCUCCUUUUUCUAAUCAGUGAACUUGACCUCUUCGUGAAGAGGCGAAGAUACACCUAUAAGACGAGAAGACCCCAUGGAGCUUAAAACAUAAGAGACACUUUUUUUUGAUAAACCCCCACAGACAAAAAAGCUUGUUAACUAGUUUUUGGUUGGGGCAACCAAGGAGAACAACCAAUCCUCCUUAACGACCACUAUCUAAGAGCGACAGCCCGAAGAAACAACAAAUUGACGUAAAAUGACCCGAUUUUUAAUCGAUCAAGGAACCAAGUUACCCUGGGGAUAACAGCGCAAUCCAUUUCAAGAGCCCCUAUCGACAAAUGGGUUUACGACCUCGAUGUUGGAUCAGGGUAUCCUAGUGGUGCAGCAGCUACUAAAGGUU